rnacentral:lncRNA from 1 species
CUCCCACAGUGCUGGAAUUACAGGCACAAGUCACUAUGCCCAGCCACAUUAAACAUUUUCAUCAUACUGUAUGUACAAAGCUUUAUCUUUUUUUAUGCCACUAAACGUUGUUCAGUUAUGACCAUUUCCCUAAUGUGACUAUUCUUAAUAAACAUGAUUUUAAUGGGUGCAUGGUAUUGCAUAUUCUGAAUAUGCCAUAAUAUAUACUGGUCUCCUCUAAAAAUAAGCGUUCAGGUCAUUUCCUUGUUUCAGUUAGAAACCUGUGAUGAACACUUUAUAUAUCAUGCCCCUCUGCAGUGCAGAUACUUUUGGAAGAAUCCCCUUAUAUUCUGUAAUGCUCAGCUUCAUCAUCUUUGAAUUAAUUAAAAGGCGCCUAUCAAUCUUUCUUGAAUGCUGUGUUUGAAGGAAUAAUGAGCCAGAGUUUGUGAAGGUGCUUUGAAGUAGCUGGAUGAAAGGGACUGUGUAAAUCAUAACAGUAGUAGCCCUGCCAGACUGCUCUCACCACACUUGUCUCUUACACUCCAAUACAGGGGCACCGCCACCCAUUCCCAUGCACCCCCACCACUGCUCAGCAAUUUUGCAUGUUGCUUCCAAAGGGGUUGCUCACCCCUGUAUCCAAACAUCACCACCACAGAUAUUCAGUGUCCUGCCCCACACUGCCAGCACUCCCCACCGAGCACACAGCUGGAAGGAAACUUCAAGAUAAUUUGGUCCAACAUCCCAUUUUUUGAAGGUCAGGAAACUAACAUCCAGAAAGGUUAAAUGAGUUUGCCUGGAAUUUCUUUUAAGGAGAUGCAUUUCCUAAGGGUCAUCAUAUUUCUAAAUCAGUAAGAGUGCUAAGUAAUAUGUUUUGUUAAAUCUGCAUGUUUUUAAAGAAACGAAUACAAGAGAAUAAUAACGUUUCCUUUUGGAAGGGAAGAUCUGCCUGCAUGGCCAGUAACCCAGAGCCCAAGCCAGAUAAAAAUAAUGAUUAACGAACGGAUAAACAGGCUCAUAUGCUUCAUACGUGAUAAAUUAAGGGUCUCAUACUGGCCAGAGAAUCAUGUUAUCUAAGUAAUUUUGAGAAGACAGCCCAUGACCUUAAUAAUUUGCCACUUGUUAUGGCAAAGUUAUUUUGAAAGUUUUCUAGGUAACUGAAGGUCCAGUGUAUGUGCCAGGCAUUUAGUAUAAUCUUAUCUUUCCCCAAAUGUGGACAAAAGUGGUUUUUUUCAGUCACAUAUACCACCGCAUUGAGAACUGGACAUUUGAUAAUCAUCAGCGAUUUUCCCUCCAGGGCCUCCUCAGAUGGCUUUUCUUGAUUACAAACUAUUUUGGAAACUCCAAAUUCUUUCCACUGAUUUAGCAACGAAUCCUCAACUUAUUUUUAAACUGCUGUAAUUGAGCAGCUCUGGGGGUUAACUUGUGGAGUCUGGUCACUUUUAGAUCAAAUUAUCAACCAAACACUCUGCUCUUACCAUCUUGGGACCAUCUUCUAUUUCUUUUGCUGAGAAUAGGUUAACCAAGGGACCUUGAAAUCAUUCAAAGCCACAAUACAAAAACAUCACUUUGGCUUCUCCCAAGUUUAUCCUACUCUUCAUCUGGUGCAAGGAAACGAACAGAAAAACCGGACCCUGUUAAUUAUUCCCAAGAUGACAUCAAUGUGCUCUUCCAUGGCCUUCUACAGCUUGGAGCUGAGCUCAAGGAGCAAGGAGUUAUAGCAGAAAGCACACUGGCCACCUGUUUAAGCGACUGGACCCUUUGAACACCUCUUUAGCUGAGCUUCUAGGUCAGCCAGCAGGAGAGAAGGAAAGAGGGCUUUGAGAGGAGAGAGGAGCAGCUCGACAAGAGGAGUGAAGGCCCCUAUCAGCUGGCUGCUGAGCUCCAGUGUCAACUGGUUGCAGGGAUGACCUACAGGGAGGGAUUUAAUGAGGAGCUGAAGUUGCUGGAGCAAAGUUGGAAGAUGCUGCACCCUUUAAGGCAAGUGGGCUUCCAGUGACAAAGGUGAUGGAUGAUGUCAUGACAGAGCCAAAAAAUUGAUGAAGUGGAAAUGCAGCAAAGCCAACUGCAUGAACAAAGAUGCUGUCAUUCAAAAACUACAGGAAAAGGCACUGUUACAAGCAUCUAUGACAGGUACUACUAUUAGCCUCAUUCAGAAGAUGAUAAAACUGAGGUGUGAAGAGAAUGCAUUAACUUGUACCAGGUUAGAUAAAAGUGCAAAUUCACAAAGGAACCAGUGAAAAAGGAAAACAGAAGGAAAACUCCUGAUGUGUAGGUUGAAGAGAACAUUCUGUCUUCAGAAAUCAGAGCAAGAAAAAUGGAAGGUAAAACAUGUUCCAGGGCACCAGUCAGAGCCCCACAAGGCUGUCUGCCCUGGGAAAUGGCGCAAGAUUAGAAGGAGGCACUGGGGGUGUUAUCGCAAGCAGCAGCUUGCCCCUUAGUAACCCCUGUCCUCCACAGGCCAGGCUGCAAUAUUUCACAUAAACGCUGGUACUGUACUCUGAACAUCAGGGACCUCUACACCCCUCACAAACAGCAAAUGCAGUUAAGACGCCAGAAAAAAAAAAUGGUAUCAAAUUGUUUAAAAACUCUACAAUAAAUGGUCCAAUAUUCUUUCUCUAUGAUUUUGUAAUGUUAAAAAAAUCCACUGAAAGUCAGAAAUCAAAUGACAGAAAGAGAGAAAGAGAAAGAGAGAGAGAGAGAAAUAAAACAAUAGCCAGUCUUAAUGUCUCUUAUGGUACCACUUUUAAAGAUUUCUUUCAGUGAGAAAACAAUCCAUGCUUUUUCAACUGAUGAUCUGCAAUUUGAAUAUGAGAUAUGGUGAUUUUAUACAGCACAACUCUUAUUACUACUAAUUGAUCUUUGAACAUGAAUUGAUUAAAUAUAGCUGCUAUGAUAUUUGUAGAAUACCUUUUCUAUUACAUUAAUCUCCAUCCCAUUCUUUUCUAUGAGAUAAGUAAAAGUUCCUUUUGAGUGAGAGAUUGGAAAACCAGCAUUCCUUCUGCUAAAUAAAGCAGACCCUCAAGAAUGCUAUCUUUUAGAAAUGGGUGAAAGGAGCCAUCCUUAAAACCCACUUCACUUGUUUAAGUCCAACUAGUUUUCAAUAGCAAAGACCCAAAGGGAAAGCUAGAGUGUUUAUGGUCUUAGGUCUUAUCCAGAUCAGAUUCCCAUAGAAAAGAAUCACAAAUAUCCAAGCAUUCGAAAUCUGCUGGGGAAACCUAACUGCUUUAAGAAAAAAAAAAAUUCUCUCCCCGAUCCUGAUUGAAAAUGAUUUCUAAACCAUACUUUGUUGAACCAACUGAAAUUUUUUUCAAGUAAGAUGCCCAUGUUAGCAGAUUUCCUUCUGAAACACUGCUUGGUAGAUUUAAUAUAUUAAGAGGUUUAUAUAUAAUUCACUCUCACCUUAGUAUGAAUUGGUUUACUCACCCUCCCUCCUUACAAAAAGCUUGGAUUUAUGGACUGAAGGUGUGCAUGAAGAAAAGGAAUAAAAAGAGGAUAGGGUAAUCACUGACUAGGAAGCACUGCUUUGGGGAAGAUCUGGAUGCUUAGAGGCUUAAGGAAAGUGAUGAAGCAAGGGAAGGUGGGAAGGGACCCAAACCAAAUUUUUUCUUUUUUUUUUUUUUUUGAGACAGAGUCUCGCUCUGUAGCCCAGGCUGGAGUGCAGUGGUGCAAUCUCGCCUCGCUGCAAGCUCUGCCUCCUGGGUUCACGCUAUUCUCCUGCCUCAGCCUCCGGAGUAGCUGGGAUUACAGGCGCCUGCUACCACGCCUGGCUAGUUUUUUUUGUAUUUUUAGUAGAGACGGGGUUUCACUGUGUUAGCCAGGAUGGUCUCAAUCUCCUGACCUCGUGAUCCGCCCGCCUCGGUCUCCCAAAGUGCUGGGAUUACAGGCGUGAGCCACCACGCCCAGCCAAAAUUUUUUACUCUACAUUUUUUUCUUAAGAUUGACAAGACAGUCAAAAGGUCCACUGGAUAAAUGUAUCUUUCCUAACUCGCAGCCACUGUCCUUGGAACCCAGGAUGUGGUUUGAAGGGUCUAAGUGAUCUGGAUUUACUUUUUCUUAUUUGUCUUGUGGUUUCUGUAUAGGGAUGGCUCAGAAAUAUGUUCACCAGCUAGAGCCCCAUGUUGGUUUAUUAGAAUCCUAUUUCCAGUGUGGUUUUCUUUUUCUGCCUGAAAGUCAUUUACUAAGAAUGUAUUUUUUUCUAAAUGGGGGAAGGAUUGGAACUACUUUAGCAAGAAACAUUUCAGACAGCCUGCAAAUCUCACCUUUCCAUAGCUACAGUGACCAUUUCACUCAGUACUCUGUACAUUUGAUAAUAUGUAUGUAGAUCUGCAGAUGCUUGGGAGGUGAGUGUGCG